AUGAAGCCAGUCCAACUCCCAAAGACCCUGAGAAUCACGGCGGCGAGGGCCAGCCCCAACCAGAGUGUGCGUGCGACGGUCCUGGACAAAACAAGAGUCAACGUCAAGGAUGACGCGACAACCAAAAUCAGUAAGUUGACCGGCAGAAAACAGAUUCAUGGUAAGUCGAGGAACAUGAGCAACAUCAGGAACAUAAUAAGGAGUGGUAAGGUUGCCUCUACUAGCAACAGAAAGUGGAGUACCAUCAGCAGUGAAGACAUGAACAGGAGAAUCCAGCGAUCGAAGAGAGGACAAGGUGGAAGAAUGAUAAGACAUAUGAAAAGAAGCUCCAGAGUCCAGAACCCAUGGGGAUGUACCUGA
rnacentral:rRNA from 1 species